GGCACCCGCGGAUUUUUUUUGGUGUGACCUCUGACAUGUAUAUAGGUGCCUGUUUGCAAUAUAAUUCAGGUCAUAUUAUGCAUCAGACCUUUGUUUAUCUAAGGGAAGGAAAACGUUAUCAGAAAAUAUUCAAAAUGUUACCACAUAUAACUGAAUUCCUGAACCAACUCCCAUCAGCAACCGUCCAGCAUCAAGCCACCAAGCUCUCUUUUGACAGGCACAAGUAUGUAAGUUGAAGAGAACAAGGGAAAGGCAAUGAGGGGGUCACAGAAAGAUAGAGCUCGUAAAUGAUGAUGUAGACAAAGGUGAAUCCAACAUAUAAGCAGUGGGUGCACAAACUUGGACUUUACCCAUGUAUGUGGAAAAUUUUAAGGAAAACAUAUAGUAUAUACUUUGUUUUUUUUUCCUAGUGAAUAUAUACUUUAAAAGGCAGCCACUGCCUUUAAGUUCUAUAUUAAUUUAUAGAUGGUGAAGACGACGUGCAACCACCUUUUCAAGCACUUUAGUCAAUGUCACGUAAUCGUCGAAUGAGUUCCUACUGUUAUUGUCCCAGUAGAUUCUAAUGCAACGGGACUGAGCUAAUCAGAUAAUCGACAUGCUAUAGGCUAAAGACAUGUUACAGCCAUUGAUUAUAUUUUCCAAUAGCUUCUGCUGCAACUUGACUGGGUUAAUCAGAUGAUCAAUAUGCUAUGGGCUUAACACAUGUUGCACGGCCUGACUGGAAGCGAUAUGAAUAGAUUGAAUUGGAGAGUACAUGGGGGGGGGGGAGG
rnacentral:lncRNA from 1 species